UACGUAGGGUCCAAGCGUUAUCCGGAAUCACUGGGCGUAAAGCGUGCGUAGGUGGAUGUUUAAGUGUGAUGUUAAAUCGUGGGGCUCAACCCUGUCGUUGCAUCGCAUACUGGGCGUCUAGAGGACAGCAGAGGCAAGUGGAACUCGUAGUGUAGCAGUGAAAUGCGUAGAUAUUACGAAGAACACCAAUGGCGAAGGCAGCUUGCUGGGCUACUCCUGACACUGAGGUACGAAAGCGUGGGGAG
rnacentral:rRNA from 1 species